ACAAACUUGGUCAUUUAGAGGAAGUAAAAGUCGUAACAAGGUUUCCGUAGUUAUAUAAGUCUGCAGGAGUAAAAUGAUUCCUUCCGCAGUGUACACUUAUCGAAGCCUUUGCAGCCACGCAAGUGGUAGACCCGAAGCGACUAUAAAUAAAUUUGGUGUUGCGAUGCAAGUCAGCAUUAUAUUACACAGCCUUGUUAGGCGUGCUGGCGACACUUUCGAAUUGACGGGGACACCCUAAAGCCUGUCACACCUUGUUUAUCUUUAACCUGUUGCUUUGGUGGGCCCGCUGUUAAGGCCGCUGGAGAAUUUGAAUGUUUUCUGGCCUGUGCCCACCAAAGUCUUAAUGAACUCUUUGUUGUCUUUUUGCUGUCUGAGCAUUAAAAAAAGCAAAUUUUUAAAACUUUCAACAACGGAUCUCUUGGUUCUGGCAUCGAUGAAGAACGCAGC
rnacentral:misc_RNA from 1 species